GACGUAGGGUCCAAGCGUUGUCCGGAUUUACUGGGCGUAAAGAGCGCGUAGGCGGUCUGUUAAGUGUAGAGUGAAAUCUCCAGGGCUCAACCCGGAAACUGCUCUGCAUACUGGCAGACUGGAGUGAUGCAGAGGUUUGUGGAAUUCCUGGUGUAACGGUGAAAUGUGUUGAUAUCAGGAGGAACACCCGUGGCGAAGGCAGCAAACUGGGCAUUAACUGACGCUGAGGCGCGAAAGCGUGGGUAGCAAACAGG
rnacentral:rRNA from 1 species